UGGGGUUUCGAUUGGAAGGGUUUCCCUAGGUUUUCGGUCUUCUUAUAAUUUUUGGACGGCGGUGUUCUUCCCUUUCUUUUAUGAAGGGCGUAGGUAGGCAGAAGGUAUCUAUCCCUUUUCUGCUUUCCUUUCUCUUAUUAUCGAUUUCAACCUCUUUUUUUGGUUAAUACAUUCCCAGAGGGCCCCGUGCAUAUAUGCGUCCAUACCCCCCAUACCAUUCUGCUGGACGUUUUGUCAUGACGUCCAUGUAUAUUUGCAAUACAUACGUACAUAUUCUCUACCAAACAACUGUAUUAUUAUAUAGAUGCAUUACUUCAUAUAUCCAUACAAGUGUCGCACUCCUUUUUCAAGGACAUCAACUUCUCCU
rnacentral:sRNA from 1 species